CCUACGGGAGGCAGCAGUGGGGAAUAUUGGGCAAUGGAGGAAACUCUGACCCAGCGACGCCGCGUGAGGGAUGAAGGCCUUCGGGUUGUAAACCUCUUUCAGUAGGGAAGAAGCGAAAGUGACGGUACCUACAGAAGAAGCACCGGCUAACUAUGUGCCAGCAGCCGCGGUAAUACAUAGGGUGCAAGCGUUGUCCGGAAUUAUUGGGCGUAAAGAGCUCGUAGGUGGUUCGAUACGUCGGAUGUGAAAAUCAGGGGCUCAACCCCUGACCUGCAUCCGAUACGGUCGAGCUAGAGUUUGGUAGGGGAGACUGGAAUUCCUGGUGUAGCGGUGGAAUGCGCAGAUAUCAGGAGGAACACCGAUGGCGAAGGCAGGUCUCUGGGCCAAUACUGACACUGAGGAGCGAAAGCGUGGGGAGCGAACAGGAUUAGAUACCCUGGUAGUCCACGCCGUAAACGGUGGGCGCUAGUUGUGCGAACCUUCCACGGUUUGUGCGACGCAGCUACGCAUAGCCGCCCGCCGUCGGGAGGUACGAGCGCGAAGAAGUUAAACGUAACUAAUAGUAAGUUAGACGUCGUUGAGACGNGCGACGGACGACGACGAGGGAGGAGG
rnacentral:rRNA from 1 species